GACAGAGGGUGCAAACGUUGCUCGGAAUCACUGGGCGUAAAGGGUGCGUAGGCGGCGCGGUAAGUCGGGUGUGAAAUCUCGGGGCUUAACUCCGAAACUGCAUUCGAUACUGCCGUGCUUGAGGACUGGAGAGGAGACUGGAAUUUACGGUGUAGCGGUGAAAUGCGUAGAUAUCGUAAGGAAGACCAGUGGCGAAGGCGGGUCUCUGGACAGUUCCUGACGCUGAGGCACGAAGGUCAGGGGAGCAAACGGG
rnacentral:rRNA from 1 species